AGGACGAACGCUGGCGGCGUGCUUAACACAUGCAAGUCGAGCGGUAAGGCUCCUUCGGGAGUACACGAGCGGCGAACGGGUGAGUAACACGUGAGCAAUCUGCCCUUCACACGGGGAUAACUCCGGGAAACCGGUGCUAAUACCCGAUACGACCACCUCAGGCAUCUGAUGGUGGUGGAAAGUUCCGGCGGUGAAGGAUGAGCUCGCGGCCUAUCAGCUUGUUGGUGGGGUAAUGGCCCACCAAGGCGACGACGGGUA
rnacentral:rRNA from 1 species